AGAAGAGUAUUAGGAUGGAGAAAGCAAGGCAGUUAUUUGAGGCCAAAAAAGAAUACUUCAUCCACAAUGGACCAAUGUUACUAGAAAAGCAAAUCACCUGCAACCAAGUCUACAAAGGAACACUAGAUGAACGGGAAGUAGCUAUUAAAGUCAAAGGCCCUCCAACGCAUUGGCCCUUUGAGAUGAUGGUAGAUUUCUUCCUAAACCAAGUUACAAUCAAACAAUUGAUCAGCCACAAGAACGUUAUGAGACUAUGGUUGCUGCCUUGAAACUGAAAUUCCCAUGUUGGUUUUUGAGCUCAUCUCCAAUGGCACCCUCUUUGAUCAUCUCCAUGGUUAAUGCAAUGAGAUUCCUUGCUGGAUCUCAUGGCUUGAUAGAGUAAGAAAUAAGAAUAGCCACUGAGACAUCCUAUGCUCUUUGUUACAUGCACUAUGUUAGGCCAAGGCCAAUAGUCCAUUUGAAUGUCAAAUCAUCAAAUAUAUUUUUGGAUGAGUCAUGGACUGCCAAAGUAUUAGAUUUUGGUUUUUUGGUUUCAAUUGCACCUGGAGAAGACAUUUUUUAGGGUAUUUCCAUUGUGGGAACCAUUGGAUACAUAGACCCAGAAUAUCUAGAGACACUACAUGUCACGGAAAAGUGUGAUGUUGAUGGCUUUGGGGUUGUAUUGGUGGAAGUCUUAACAGGUCAUCAUCCCACAGAAACGUUCCUAGGGCAUAUGAAUUUGGUAGAUUACUUUGUUUUGUCAA